AUCCCCCUGCCAUGAGCAAGGACACCUUCCACUGGAGUCAAAGGAUCUCUGGUAGAACACACCUCAGAAAGCCUCAGAGGACACAGAAACUAAACACAAUUAUCAUCAAUACACCAUAGACCUGUUCAGCCCCUUGUUCUGACACCACGGGGACGGGAACCAGGAAAGUUAAACCAGCAGAAAAAUGUGCAAUGAGACUUCCUGAGAAAACUCACUUUCCAGGAAUUUCCAACUUCCUAAGCAAGAGAUGAAAGAAAGAAGCAAGGAACCAUGAGUUCAACAUCUUCAGUUCCAUAUAAUGGAGAAUCUAAUGUACAGAAACAGCUUUUCCCCAUCUUUACACUGCUGUCAACAAUUCUCAUAAAUUCAGAUUUUCAGAAAUGUAUAUGAAGCCAUGGAC